ACGGGUGAGUAACGCGUGGGUAACCUGCCUCAUACAGGGGGAUAACAGUUGGAAACGACUGCUAAUACCGCAUAAGCGCACAGGAUUGCAUGAUCCAGUGUGAAAAACUCCGGUGGUACAGGAUGGGCCCGCGUCUGAUUAGCUGGUUGGCAGGGUAACGGCCUACCAAGGCAACGAUCAGUAGCCGGUCUGAGAGGAUGAACGGCCACAUUGGAACUGAGACACGGUCCAAACUCCUACGGGAGGCAGCAUG
rnacentral:rRNA from 1 species